UACAGAGGGUGCGAGCGUUAAUCGGAUUUACUGGGCGUAAAGCGCGUGUAGGCGGCUUUGCAAGUCGGAUGUGAAAUCCCACGGCUCAACCGUGGAAGUGCAUCCGAAACUGCAUCGCUCGAGUCUCGGAGAGGAAGGUGGAAUGCUUGGUGUAGAGGUGAAAUUCGUAGAUAUCAAGCAGAACACCUGCGGCGAAGGCGGCCUUCUGGACGAUGACUGACGCUGAGACGCGAAAGCGUGGGGAGCAAGCAGG
rnacentral:rRNA from 1 species